GAUGAACGCUGGCGGCGUGCUUAACACAUGCAAGUCGAACGAGUGGCGAACGGGUGAGUAACACGUGAGCACUCUGCCCCUGACUCUGGGCUAAGCGCUGGAAACGGCGUCUAAUACUGGAUAGUCAGGGAUGAGCUCGCGGCCUAUCAGCUUGUUGGUGAGGUAAUGGUCACCAAGGCGCGACGGGUAGCCGGCCUGAGAGGGUGACCGGCCACACUGGGACUGAGACACGGCCCAGACUCCUACGGGAGGCAGCAGUGGGGAAUAUUGCACAAUGGGCGCAAGCCUGAUGCAGCAACGCCGCGUGAGGGAUGACGGCCUUCGGGUUGUAAACCUCUUUUAGCAGGGAAGCGGUACCUGCAGAAAAAGCGCCGGCUAACUACGUGCCAGCAGCCGCGGUAAUUC
rnacentral:rRNA from 1 species